AACCAAACGCCCACAAGACUGCUUGCCCGCUUCUUCUUGACUUCGUAUCGUCCACCAAUUUUGCUUGAAAACACACAGAGUCCACACUCGCUAAAAUGUCACUUUCACAAACGGAGACACAUGCGUUCAGGGCUUGUGCAAAUGAUCACACAUUCUACUC
rnacentral:rRNA from 1 species